rnacentral:rRNA from 1 species
CAGUAGUCAUAUGCUUGUCUCAGAGAUUAAGCCAUGCAUGUCUCAGUGCACGCCUUUAUACGGUGAAACCGCGAAUGGCUCAUUAAAUCAGCUAUGGUUUAUUGGAUCAUACCCGUUAAAUGGAUAACUGUAAUAACUCUAGAGCUAAUACAUGCCACGAUGCCCUGACCCUUACGGGGAUGGGUGCACUUAUUAGAUCAGAAGCCAACCGUGCAUGGCCGCCAGCCUCGGCGGGUGGUUGUGUGCGUUGACCUUCUGGUGACUCUGGAUAAUUGUUACAGAUCGCAGUCGGCCUUGAGUCGGCGACGGGUCCUUCAAAUGUCUGCCCUAUCAACUUUCGAUGGUAGGUGACCUGCCUACCAUGGUGAUAACGGGUAACGGGGAAUCAGGGUUCGAUUCCGGAGAGGGAGCCUGAGAAACGGCUACCACUUCCAAGGGAGGCAGCAGGCGCGCAAAUUACCCACUCCCAGUACGGGGAGGUGGUGACGAAAAAUACCGAUGCGGGACUCCUUAACGAGGCUCCGUAAUCGGAAUGAGUGAACUAUAAAUCCUUUCACGAGGAUCAAUUGGAGGGCAAGUCUGGUGCCAGCAGCCGCGGUAACUCCAGCUCCAAUAGCGUAUAUUAAGGUUGCUGCAGUUAAAAAGCUCGUAGUUGGAUCUCGGUAUCACUGUCGCGCGCCAGUCCUCUGGUGAGCGGUUGCUGCAUUACAUGCGUCCACGUGUCGUAGGUGUGUGUGCGGCCGUCUUGCUGGAGUUGGCGAUGUGGUGGUGUCACCUUUGAGCCAUGUCUGUGGUGAAAUACCCGCAGGUGUAGGCGAGUGUCAGGCGGUGCCUAGCGCAAGCUGGGCUCGUCGGCUCGUCUGCAUGCCUUUGGAUGCCCUUCAAAAGGUGUCUGUUGGCGGAUGGCACGUUUACUUUGAACAAAUUUGAGUGCUCAAACCAGGCCGAUGUUGCCUGAAAAGUUUUGCAUGGAAUAAUGGAAUAGGACUUCGGUUCUAUUUCGUUGGUUUUCGGAUCCGAAGUAAUGAUCAAAAGAGACAGGCGGGGACGUUUGUAUGGCUGCGCUAGAGGUGAAAUUCAUGGACCGUAGCCAGACAAACUAAAGCGAAAGCAUUCGUCAAGCAUGUUUUCAUUGGCCAUGAGCGAAAGUCAGAGGCUCGAAGACGAUCAGAYACCGUCCUAGUUCUGACCAUAAACGAUGCCAACUGACGAUCCGUGGUGGUAGUUCAUCAACCUUCCCCACGGGCAGUCCCCGGGAAACCUUUAAGUCUUUGGGUUCCGGGGGAAGUAUGGUUGCAAAGCUGAAACUUAAAGGAAUUGACGGAAGGGCACCACCAGGAGUGGAGCCUGCGGCUUAAUUUGACUCAACACGGGAAAACUCACCCGGCCCGGACACUAUGAGGAUUGACAGAUUGAAAGCUCUUUCUUGAUUUGGUGGUUGGUGGUGCAUGGCCGUUCUUAGUUGGUGGAGCGAUUUGUCUGGUUAAUUCCGAUAACGAACGAGACUCCUGCCUGCUAAUUAGUGCGCCUGUCUACUGUACCUGCGUAGGCGGUGUUUGACGAAGCUGGCCUCUAAAAGCUGCCGUCGAGUGGAUUUGUGUGCGUGCGUGUGUGUGUGUGUGUUUGGCUUGCCUUCUUCCGAGGGUGAGUUGGCAUACCUGCAUGCGUGUAUGCAUGCAUGCCUGCUUGUAUGUGUGGUGGGGUUGGCUGGUUCGGCAUUAGUCUCCGGGUGCGGCGCGGGCGUUUACUUCUUAGAGGGACAAGCGGGAGAAGCCGCACGAAAUAGAGCAAUAACAGGUCUGUGAUGCCCUUAGAUGUCCGGGGCCGCACGCGCGCUACAAUGACGGUGGCAAUGAGUCUGACCUUCUGGCCCGAAAGGGUUGGGCAAACUGGUCAAUCACCGUCAUGACAGGGAUCGGGGCUUGGAAUUGUUCCCCGUGAACGAGGAAUUCCUAGUAAGUGCAAGUCAUAAGCUUGCGCUGAUUACGUCCCUGCCCUUUGUACACACCGCCCGUCGCUACUACCGAUUGAAUGGUUUAGUAAGGUCCUUGGAUUGGCGCCAUUGUGGUGGUUGCCGAGAGGUGGCCACCCGGCAGGUGCUGAGAAGACGACCAAACUUGAUCAUUUAGAGGAAGUAAAAGUCGUAACAAGGUUUCCGUAGGUGAA